rnacentral:rRNA from 1 species
AUCCAGACUCCUACGGGAGGCAGCAGUGAGGAAUAUUGGUCAAUGGGCGCGAGCCUGAACCGGCCAAGUCGCGUGAGGGAAGACGGUCCUAUGGAUUGUAAACCUCUUUUGUCGGGGAGCAAAAGACGCCACGCGUGGCGUUCCGAGAGUGCCCGAAGAAAAAGCAUCGGCUAACUACGUGCCAGCAGCCGCGGUAAUACGUAGGUGGCAAGCGUUAUCCGGAUUUACUGGGUGUAAAGGGCGUGUAGGCGGGACUGCAAGUCAGAUGUGAAAACCAUGGGCUCAACCUAUGGCCUGCAUUUGAAACUGUAGUUCUUGAGUACUGGAGAGGCAGACGGAAUUCCUAGUGUAGCGGUGAAAUGCGUAGAUAUUAGGAGGAACACCAGUGGCGAAGGCGGUCUGCUGGACAGCAACUGACGCUGAGGCGCGAAAGCGUGGGGAGCAAACAGGAUUAGAUACCCCAGUA